GUGAGCCUCGCUCAACCCACUGUGCUCCGUGCUCUGUCCUCCUUCCUCCAUCUCCAUGUGCUCCAUGCUUGGGUGGAGAAGGUGACUGUAGCAGUGGGACCCACAGAGACACGGGACCCCUCGUUCUCAGAAUCGGACACCCCAGCCAAUGGAGACGGAAAGCGGAAGAAUCUCACGGACUCUGAGGUGCCGGUAGGACUCAUCUGCGCGAAUCAUGGGGCAACACAGGAAAGAGAAGGGAAGAAAAGGCUCGUAGGUUUAAGAACUUCUAACAACAACACCAGAAGGUUGGAAAAGGUGUUAACAGAAAACUGAACUCUAAGUCUGGAUUCAGACGGCCAAGACGCGGUCUGUUCCCUGAGAUGACCUGGGCACCAAAAUGAAAGGGAUACCUUCGAGAGAUUCCAGAACCUUGUAGGUUGUCAGAGCUGCUGAUAGAUUUUUCUUCUAAGUGCCUAGUAACUCCUGGUGUGGGCUCCCAGCCUGGAGACAAAGGCACUGGAAUCAUGCUGAACCCACUCAGGAAGCCCAGGCUCCAGGCUGGCCUUGAUUUGGAUGGAGACCAGCCUUCAGGAGCUGCCCAAAAUACUGACAGCCGUGCUUUGGAAAGACACAGAUUUCAACAAUACACCCUCCUCUCACUGACCCUCUCACCCUCUGGCUCAAGGAGAGGCUUUCUGUCACUAAAAAGGCAUGUUCAUUUAUAACAGAUGGGGGUGUUUGGACUUUCUGGUAAUGGAUUUAUAGAUUUCAUCCCAGCCCUACCUCUCUGAAUUUCUGGCCUGGUGGGGUCACCCACCUUUUUUCCUGGGAGGGGCCUGAAGUCCCCUGGGACUCCAUGUCUGAACCAACAGUAAGAAAGUGUUUAACACCGCGGUUCCUGACCUUGGUGAUGUUCAGUAGAGCAUAAGGGGCAGAAAAGUGUUUGAUCAAAACUUGUUUCCUUGCUAUGUGGUUCAAGUUGAUGAAACAUAGUUUCUGAACCUAAAAACAAAAAUCAAAGGGACAAAGUAAUUGACCACAAGUUCGUAUUUUCCCCGCUCAGGACUACUCAGGGAGGCACAUUUUCCUCCUGUUCUCACACUUUGGAGUGCAUCAGAGUCCACUGCAGGACCUCUUAAAACCCCCAUCCUCGGAGUUUCUGAUCUGGGAGAGGGAGACCCUGCCUGUCUAGCUGAGUCCCAGGUGAUGCUAAGGCUCCAGGGACCACACUUUGAGAACCACGGCUCUCCAGCAAGAACACCACUGGCCUCUUGACCCUUUGUCUUGCAGGUUCAUCUAUUACUUUGGUCUUUCCAAGGCCACAUUUCCCCCAUGCACCUGGGGCAGCCCAGAACAGGCCUCUGUUGACGCAGCCCUGUGUUGUCUGCAAGCCAAAGUACUACAACAGGAAGUGGGGUCUUAGAGCUUCUCAAGCGCCAGCUGAGGCCACCAGGAGGCACCAUGAGAGCACUGCCCCACCGAGGCACACCGGACUGCCCUUCACACCAGCAUCGUGAGUCGGAAACGCUGGCAAGGCCAGCAGUAGCCCAGGGACCGAGGUCACCGUCUACUGGAAAUUU